CGUAACAAGUGACCAACCUGUCCUAGGGUGGGGGGACAACCUGGGGAAACCCGGACUAAUACCACAUGAUGUCCCGACCUUUCAUGAGGAUGGGACCAGAGAGGGCCUCUGCUUGCAUGCUCUCGCCCAAGGAGGGGGUCGCUUCGUAUCAGCUUGUUGGUAGGGUAACGGCCUACCAAGGCUACGACGCGUAGUGGGUCUGAGAGGACGACCCGCCACAUUGGGACUGAGAUACGGCCCAG
rnacentral:rRNA from 1 species